rnacentral:rRNA from 1 species
CUGCGAUCUGUUGAGACUUAGCCCUUGAUCGGAUGAUUUG